rnacentral:misc_RNA from 1 species
GUGAGUGGUGUUUGGUGUGUGUGGGUAUGUCGGAUCCCUGCUCGGGCAGCGACGGCAUCUCCUGCACGCCUCUUCAUUGGUUGGAACAAGUUCGCUCUUGUCCGAUAAUGGUUAUCCUGUGUUGCAUACCUWUUGYAAAGGCAUUCGAUUGGCUAAAUUUUCCAUCUCCGCCUUGUGCCGGUGCUCCUUGCGGGCAUGCGGUAUGGGGUGGAUCUCAAGGCGUGCGUCGUGUUUCGCGCCGCAUUCACCUGAAUUGGUGUUUGGGUAGGCGACACUCGACGUGCUGCUCGUUGUCUCGGGUGCGGAAUAUCGGGUGGGUACGAGGCAUCGACCUCCGAUCACCACACAAAUGCGUUCUACGCUUUUUGCGAACGACGGCUGCACUCGGCAUUUGGCGGGGCACUUGCUGCUCCGUUGAAGUCGUGUCGGCGUCGGUAAAGGAUGC